CACACACACACAGCAGUGUGUGUAUGUGUGUAUAUAUGUGUAUGUGUGUAUAUAUAUAUAUAUAUAUAUAUAUAUAUACACAUAUACACAUAUACAUACAUAUAUAUAUGCGGCGUGUGCUUG
rnacentral:miRNA from 1 species